GACGAACGCUGGCGGCGUGCCUAAUACAUGCAAGUAGAACGCUGAAGGAGGAGCUUGCUUCUCUGGAUGAGUUGCGAACGGGUGAGUAACGCGUAGGUAACCUGCCUGGUAGCGGGGGAUAACUAUUGGAAACGAUAGCUAAUACCGCAUAAGAGUAGAUGUUGCAUGACAUUUGCUUAAAAGGUGCAAUUGCAUCACUACCAGAUGGACCUGCGUUGUAUUAGCUAGUUGGUGGGGUAACGGCUCACCAAGGCGACGAUACAUAGCCGACCUGAGAGGGUGAUCGGCCACACUGGGACUGAGACACGGCCCAGACUCCUACGGGAGGCAGCAGUAGGGAAUCUUCGGCAAUGGACGGAAGGCUGACCGAGCAACGCCGCGUGAGGGAAGAAGGUUUUCGGAUCGUAAAGCUCUGUUGUAAGAGAAGAACGAGUGUGAGAGUGGAAAGUUCACACUGUGACGGUAUCUUACCAGAAAGGGACGGCUAACUACGUG
rnacentral:rRNA from 1 species